rnacentral:misc_RNA from 1 species
GGAAGGAUCAUUCAUAAUAAAAGUGUUUUAUGGCACUUUUCAAACAAUCCAUAUCCACCUUGUGUGCAAUGUUUAAUUAGGGAAACUAACUAGUUUUUUUUCCCUUAUUAUAACUUAUCAACUCUUUUAUCUUUAAUUGCCAAUUUGUCUUAAACUUAUAUUAUAUGAAUAACUUAAUUCAAAAUAUAACUUUCAACAACGGAUCUCUUGGCUCUCGCAUCGAUGAAGAACGCAGCGAAAUGCGAUACGUAAUGUGAAUUGCAGAAUUCAGUGAAUCAUCGAAUCUUUGAACGCAUAUUGCGCUCUUUGGUAUUCCGAAGAGCAUGCUUGUUUGAGUAUCAGUAAACACCUCAAGUCAAGAAUUUAUUUUCAAGACUUGGAUUUGAGUGAUCCUAACCAAUAUCAAAUUUGGGCAGGUCAUUUGAAAUUCAGGUGCAGCUGAACUUUUCUUCUGAGCCAAAAGCAUUAUUUUAUUUAGUCUCCGGACUAUUACUUUUUGCUGCAGCUAACAUAAAGGAGGAGAAGUAUCGCUGACUGAUGCAGGAAUUUAUCAGUUCUUUUUUUUUAUAUCAAGGACUGUUAGACUCGAUCUCAAAUCAAGUAAGACUACCCGCUGAACUUAAGCAUAUCAAUAAGCGGAGGAAAAGAAACUAACAAGGAUUCCCCUAGUAACGGCGAGUGAAGCGGGAUGAGCUCAAAUUUAAAAUCUGGCUGGUUUACUAGUCCGAAUUGUAGUUUAAAGAAGCGUUUUCGGUGGCAGCCUGGGUAUAAAUCCUUUGGAAUAGGGUAUCAUAGAGGGUGAGAAUCCCGUCUUUGACUCAGUGAAUGCUACUAUGUGAUACGUUUUCAAAGAGUCGAGUUGUUUGGGAAUGCAGCUCAAAAUGGGUGGUAAAUUUCAUCUAAAGCUAAAUAUUGGCGAGAGACCGAUAGCGAACAAGUACCGUGAGGGAAAGAUGAAAAGAACUUUGAAAAGAGAGUUAAAAAGUGCGUGAAAUUGUUGAAAGGGAAACGUUUGACACCAGUCAUGCGGAUGGGAAAUCAGUCUUUCAGGGUGGGGAGUGUUGGGGGUUCAGACCGCAAGGCUGACCUUUGAUUCAUCUCUAUUUUGAAGGAUGCACUUUUUCAUUUGCAGGUCAACAUCAGUUUCUUCUGCUGGACAAAACUCUGAGAGAAGGUAGCAGCUUUGGCUGUGUUAUAGCUCUGGAGCGAUACAGUGGGGGGGACUGAGGUUUUGCAGUGUGUGCUUUCGGGCAAGGUUGACUGAGUGCUAUGUGAUCGUUCGGUGUACAAUGCAUGCAUUUUGCGCUGUGUCUUUUGCAUACUCGCUUGAAUCAACUCUUCCACGCUUAGGAUGUUGACUUAAUGGUUUUAAACGACCCGUCUUGAAACACGGACCAAGGAGUCUAACAUAUAUGCGAGUGUUUGGGUGGCAAACCCAUACGCGUAAUGAAAGUGAACGUAGGUGCGAUCCGCAAGGUGCAGCAUCGACCGAUCUUGAUAUUUUUGGAUAGAUUUGAGUAAGAGCAUAUAUGUUGGGACCCGAAAGAUGGUGAACUAUGCCUGAAUAGGGUGAAGCCAGAGGAAACUCUGGUGGAGGCUCGUAGCGAUUCUGACGUGCAAAUCGAUCGUCAAAUUUGGGUAUAGGGGCGAAAGACUAAUCGAACCAUCUAGUAGCUGGUUCCUGC